CGUUGAAAAACCGGUUCCCGUACAAACACUGAAAUUAAGCAACGUCGAGCAUGGUCAGUACCUAGAUGGGUGACCGGUUGGAAAUACCAUGCGUUGUAA